rnacentral:rRNA from 1 species
GGUAGUCCAUGCCGUAAACGAUGUCUACUAGCCGUUGGGGCCUUUGAGGCUUUAGUGGCGCAGCUAACGCGAUAAGUAGACCGCCUGGGGAGUACGGUCGCAAGACUAAAACUCAAAUGAAUUGACGGGGGCCCGCACAAGCGGUGGAGCAUGUGGUUUAAUUCGAUGCAACGCGAAGAACCUUACCUGGUCUUGACAUAGUAAGAACUUUCCAGAGAUGGAUUGGUGCCUUCGGGAACCUACAUACAGGUGCUGCGUGGCUGUCGUCAGCUCGUGUCGUGAGAUGUUGGGUUAAGUCCCGCAACGAGCGCAACCCUUUUCCUUAUUUGCCAGCGGGUUAAGCCGGGAACUUUAAGGAUACUGCCAGUGACAAACUGGAGGAAGGCGGGGACGACGUCAAGUCAUCAUGGCCCUUACGACCAGGGCUACACACGUGCUACAAUGGUCGGUACAAAGGGUUGCUACCUCGCGAGAGGAUGCUAAUCUCAAAAAGCCGAUCGUAGUCCGGAUUGGAGUCUGCAACUCGACUCCAUGAAGUCGGAAUCGCUAGUAAUCGCGGAUCAGAAUGCCGCGGUGAAUACGUUCCCGGGCCUUGUACACACCGCCCGUCACACCAUGGGAGUUGGUCUUACCCGACGGCGCUGCGCCAACCGCAAGGGGGCAGGCGACCACGGUAGGGUCAGCGACUGGGGUGAAGUCGUAACAAGGUAGCCGUAGGGGAACCUGC